rnacentral:rRNA from 1 species
AGGGCACCACCUGGAGUGGAGCCUGCGGCUUAGUUUGACUCAACACCUGAAAACUCACCCGGUCCGGACACUGGUACGAUUGACAGAUUGACCGCUCUUUUUUGAUUCAAUGGGUGGGGGGGCUUGGGCGUGCUUAAUUGGUGGAGCGAUUUGUCUGGUUAAUUCCGAUAACUCACGAGACUCUACCCUACUAGAUAGAUGGUUGGCUUACAAACCCCAAUGACACUUCUAAGAGGGACGGGCGGUGAUUCCUCCGCAGCAAACUCAGCAAUAACCGGGCUGUGAUGCCCUUAGAUGUCGCGGGCCGCGCGCUCGCUACACUGAAGUGAUCAACGUGCAUUCUCAGCCUACUCUGCCAAGAGUGGGAAACCCAAUGAACCUUCUUCGUGAUUGGGAUAGGAGAUUGUAAUUAUUCUCCUUGAACGAGGAAUUCCCAGUAAGCGCGAGUCAUAAGCUCGCGUUGAUUACGUCACUGCCCUUUGUACACAACGCGCGUCACUACUACCGAUUGAAUGUUAU